rnacentral:rRNA from 1 species
UACGAAGGGGGCUAGCGUUGUUCGGAAUUACUGGGCUUAAAGGGUGCGUAGGCGGCGCGGUAAGUAGGGUGUGAAAUCCCUCGGCUCAACCGAGGAACUGCGCUCUAAACUACCGUGCUUGAGGGAGGUAGAGGUGAGCGGAACUUAGGGUGGAGCGGUGAAAUGCGUUGAUAUCCUAAGGAACACCGGUGGCGAAAGCGGCUCACUGGAUCUCUUCUGACGCUGAGGCACGAAAGCUAGGGUAGCGAACGGG